CUAACUCUAUUGUACAUACGAACUGCAGGCAAAUUACGAAUUCCAGACAGUGAAUCCGCCAACUAUCGAUCGCUCAUCGGACUCAUCGACAUGAGGAUUGAGUUGGACAAGAAGAUCAAGCCAGAGGAUGGCGGUUACCUCGCAGCUCUGGGCAUCAUGGCAUCCAAACUAGCCUACGAGAACGAGAUGGUCAUCAAGACCGUCGUCGAAAACCACUGGCACAUGAAAUUCCUGGAGUUCUUCAACUGCUGGAACGAAUUCCGAGGCGCUCACACGACGCAGGCCUUCAUGUUCACGGACAAGCCGGCCGACGCCGACCUCGUCAUGGUGGCGUUCCGGGGCACGCAGCCGUUCGACGCGGAGGACUGGUGCACGGACGUGGACAUCUCCUGGUACGAGAUCCCAGGGGUGGGCAAGGUUCACGGCGGCUUCAUGAAAGCCCUCGGGCUGCAGAGGAACGCCGUCGGCUGGCCGGCAGAGAUCGAGGCGACCAAGGACCGGCCGUUUGCCUACUACGCCGUCCGCGACGCGCUGAAGAAGUCCCUAGCGGCCAACCCGCGCGCCCGGUUCGCGGUGACCGGCCACAGCCUGGGCGGCGCGCUCGCCGUGCUGUUCCCGGCCAUCCUCGCCCUGCACGGCGAGCACGACCUGCUUGCCAAGCUCCACGGCGUGUACACGUACGGGCAGGCGCGGCUCGGGGAGUUCGUGGAGCAGCACCUCGACACGCCGGCGGCGAGGGGGAGGUACUUCCGGUUCGUCUACUGCAACGACAUCGUGCCGAGGGUGCCGUUCGACGGCCUCUUCAAGCACUUCGGCCGGUGCAUCUACUUCGACGGCUACUAUAGGGCGCGGGCCAUGGAGGAGGAGCCCAACAAGAACUACUUCUCGCUUGCGUUCGUGGUGUCCAAGUACGUGAACGCGGCGUGGGAGCUCGCCCGGGGGCUCGUUAUCGGACACGUGGACGGGGCGGAGUACGUGGAGGGGUGGACGAUGAGGGUCGCCCGGGCGGUCGGGCUGAUCAUCCCCGGCCUGCCGGCCCACGCGCCGCAGGACUACGUGAACGCCACCAGGCUCGGGGCCGCGUCGCUCGACCUGCUUCUCCGUGACCACUAA
rnacentral:rRNA from 1 species